rnacentral:rRNA from 1 species
CGGGUGAGUAACACGUGGAUAACCUACCUAUAAGACUGGGAUAACUUCGGGAAACCGGAGCUAAUACCGGAUAAUAUAUUGAACCGCAUGGUUCAAUAGUGAAAGACGGUUUUGCUGUCACUUAUAGAUGGAUCCGCGUCGCAUUAGCUAGUUGGUAAGGUAACGGCUUACCAAGGCAACGAUGCGUAGCCGACCUGAGAGGGUGAUCGGCCACACUGGAACUGAGACACGGUCCAG